UUUCUGUGAUGAAAAGAUUCUGCCAAAUGAUUUCCAUUGAUUAUAACCCUUACCGUUCCAUAUUUUCUGAGAUC
rnacentral:snoRNA from 1 species